rnacentral:rRNA from 1 species
UCAGGAUGAACGCUGGCGGCGUGCUUAACACAUGCAAGUCGAACGAUGAUCCCAGCUUGCUGGGGGAUUAGUGGCGAACGGGUGAGUAACACGUGAGUAACCUGCCCUUAACUCUGGGAUAAGCCUGGGAAACUGGGUCUAAUACCGGAUAUGACUCCUCAUCGCAUGGUGGGGGGUGGAAAGCUUUUUGUGGUUUUGGAUGGACUCGCGGCCUAUCAGCUUGUUGGUGAGGUAAUGGCUCACCAAGGCGACGACGGGUAGCCGGCCUGAGAGGGUGACCGGCCACACUGGGACUGAGACACGGCCCAGACUCCUACGGGAGGCAGCAGUGGGGAAUAUUGCACAAUGGGCGAAAGCCUGAUGCAGCGACGCCGCGUGAGGGAUGACGGCCUUCGGGUUGUAAACCUCUUUCAGUAGGGAAGAAGCGAAAGUGAC